rnacentral:rRNA from 1 species
AGUGGCGAACGGGUGAGUAACACGUGAGUAACCUGCCCUUAACUCUGGGAUAAGCCUUGGAAACGGGGUCUAAUACUGGAUAUUGACUUUACAUCGCAUGGUGUUUGGUUGAAAGAUUUAUUGGUUUUGGAUGGACUCGCGGCCUAUCAGCUUGUUGGUGAGGUAAUGGCUCACCAAGGCGACGACGGGUAGCCGGCCUGAGAGGGUGACCGGCCACACUGGGACUGAGACACGGCCCAGACUCCUACGGGAGGCAGCAGUGGGGAAUAUUGCACAAUGGGCGAAAGCCUGAUGCAGCGACGCCGCGUGAGGGAUGACGGCCUUCGGGUUGUAAACCUCUUUCAGUAGGGAACAAGGCCAGACGUUGUCUGGUUGAGGGUACUUGCAGAAGAAGCGCCGGCUAACUACGUGCCAGCAGCCGCGGUAAUACGUAGGGCGCAAGCGUUAUCCGGAAUUAUUGGGCGUAAAGAGCUCGUAGGCGGUUUGUCGCGUCUGCCGUGAAAGUCCGGGGCUCAACCCCGGAUCUGCGGUGGGUACGGGCAGACUAGAGUGAUGUAGGGGAGACUGGAAUUCCUGGUGUAGCGGUGAAAUGCGCAGAUAUCAGGAGGAACACCGAUGGCGAAGGCAGGUCUCUGGGCAUUAACUGACGCUGAGGAGCGAAAGCAUGGGGAGCGAACAGGAUUAGAUACCCUGGUAGUCCAUGCCGUAAACGUUGGGCACUAGGUGUGGGGGACAUUCCACGUUUUCCGCGCCGUAGCUAACGCAUUAAGUGCCCCGCCUGGGGAGUACGGCCGCAAGGCUAAAACUCAAAGGAAUUGACGGGGGCCCGCACAAGCGGCGGAGCAUGCGGAUUAAUUCGAUGCAACGCGAAGAACCUUACCAAGGCUUGACAUGAACUGGAAAUACCUGGAAACAGGUGCCCCGCUUGCGGUCGGUUUACAG